UACGGAGGGGACUAGCGUUGUUCGGAAUUACUGGGCGUAAAGCGCAUGUAGGCGGCUUGUUUAGUCAGGUGUGAAAUCCCGAGGCUCAACCUCGGAACUGCCUUUGAUACUGGCAAUCUCGAGUCCGGAAGAGGUGAGUGGAAUUCCUAGUGUAGAGGUGAAAUUCGUAGAUAUUAGGAAGAACACCAGUGGCGAAGGCGGCUCACUGGUCCGGUACUGACGCUGAGGUGCGAAAGCGUGGGGAGCAAACAGG
rnacentral:rRNA from 1 species